GAAAUAACAUUUUUUAAUUAGUUCUGACUUUCGAAUUAAAUUUUAUCAAAAUCGGACGACUAUAUCAUAUAGCUGCCAUAGUAACGAUCGGAAAAUUAGUGGCAAAAUAAUAUGAAAAUAUUAUAUCUUCGGUGUUUUUUAACAUAAACUUCUUAGCUUGGAAAUAAAAUUUUUUAAUAACUUCUGAAUUUCGAAUUAAAUUUUAUCAAAAUCGGACGACUAUAUUAUAUAGGUGUCAUAGGAACAAACGGGAAAUUAGUGGGAAAAUAAUAUGAAAAAAUUAUUUACUAAAGUUGAUUAUUUCUUAUAACUGCAAGGGUAUACACACUUCGGCUUGCCGAUGUUAACUUCCUUUCUUGUUUUUUAUAUGAGAUUUGUUUGUUUUACCUUUGAGAUUUUUUUAUAUUUUGCUUUCUGUAUAAAAAAUGAAAUCUAAAGUCCCUACAAUUUUGCCUAAAUUUUGUUUUUUUUUUUUUGUGUCUGUUACAAAAAUAUUUUGAAGACAUGGAAAUGUAUCUAUAUGCAAUGUUUGUAAACUCUUAUAGGUUUGCAAAAGCGCCAGGCAGUCUCUCCUAUACAUUAUAGAUAACUUUCAGCAAAAUGUAGUCCAGUCACCGAGAAGUAAAUAAGGUAAAUUAGACAACUUACACUUAUAUACAAAAAAUUAAUUAAAAAGAAACAAAAUGUCUCAAUAAACCAACAAAAUACACAAAAACUACAAGGCAAAUUUAACAGAAUUUUUUUUUAUAAAUUUAGGAAAAUUUUGUUGAAAUUUGACUUUGUAUGGAACUGCUUAUUUAAAUGUAAUAAUUCAGCACUUCAAUAGAAUAGAGAAUACCCUGAACAUAUUGAUAUGAGUUCAUAACAAUAAGAUAAAAAUCAAAUCAAAAUUAACACUUAUCAUUCUUUUUUUUUCCUAUCAAAUUCAUAUGCCACCGCUUCAGUCUUUUUAUUCCCGUUUAUCGAAAUGUUCUGUCGAUUCGUCCAGUUGGAAAUAAAGACUGCAUCAUCAGAAUGUGUAGCCACGAGGGUACCUUUUCCCUAGGAUAUAGCAGACAAGCGAUAAACAAAGUGUAUAAAACCGAACCAGGAAUGCUACCUUGAGUUUCCAUUUCUUAUUUCUCUUAAAAAACAGUUAAAUUUCAUAAUUUCCUUCCGGCUUUUGUAUUAUCCAUGCUUGAAUAGAUUUGUCACCGAACUAACGUCAACACUGAACAUUGCUUAAAGUACUACUUGUGUAACUAUGUAUUUUAUCUGUUACGUAUCUGUUAUGUAUUUUGAUAAUAUAAGAUCCUAGCGUUCUGU